rnacentral:rRNA from 1 species
GACGAACGCUGGCGGCGUGCCUAAUACAUGCAAGUCGAGCGAAGUUUUUCUGGUGCUUGCACCGGAAAAACUUAGCGGCGAACGGGUGAGUAACACGUAAAGAACCUGCCUCAUAGACUGGGACAACUAUUGGAAACGAUAGCUAAUACCGGAUAACAGCAUUAACUGCAUGGUUGAUGUUUGAAAGUUGGUUUUGCUAACACUAUGAGAUGGCUUUGCGGUGCAUUAGCUAGUUGGUGGGGUAAAGGCCUACCAAGGCGACGAUGCAUAGCCGACCUGAGAGGGUGAUCGGCCACACUGGGACUGAGACACGGCCCAGACUCCUACGGGAGGCAGCAGUAGGGAAUCUUCCGCAAUGGGCGAAAGCCUGACGGAGCAACGCCGCGUGAGUGAAGAAGGAUUUCGGUUCGUAAAGCUCUGUUGUUAGGGAAGAAUGAUUGUGUAGUAACUAUACAUAGUAGAGACGGUACCUAACCAGAAAGCCACGGCUAACUACGUGCCAGCAGCCGCGGUAAUACGUAGGUGGCAAGCGUUGUCCGGAAUUAUUGGGCGUAAAGCGCGCGCAGGUGGUUUAAUAAGUCUGAUGUGAAAGCCCACGGCUCAACCGUGGAGGGUCAUUGGAAACUGUUAAACUUGAGUGCAGGAGAGAAAAGUGGAAUUCCUAGUGUAGCGGUGAAAUGCGUAGAGAUUAGGAGGAACACCAGUGGCGAAGGCGGCUUUUUGGCCUGUAACUGACACUGAGGCGCGAAAGCGUGGGGAGCAAACAGG